UCCUGAUCCAGCCAGGGGAAAGAUGGUUGGGCAGAGAAAUUCUGGCAAGAUAGAUUGCUGCAGUCUGUUGUCUAUUCCCAGCUCGAACCAGAAGUCCAUGAGGUUGUGGGACCCCAACCCUCGGGAGAAGGACCGUCCCGGAGACAAAGUCUAACCUGUCCUGCUGAGGCAGCAGUCCGCGGACACCGACUCUCUUAAGGAAGUAACAAGCACCAGGGUAACCACUUACACUCAGAGAGUAAGGUGGAAAGGCCCGUACCUGAUCCUGAUGAUGACCCACAGGUGUGAAACUGGAAGGACGGCCCGAAUGGACACAUACCACCCGCUGCAAGAGAGCUCCACCUCAAACAAACAGGGACCAGACAGAAGAGGACACCACUCCGACCACCAAGGAUAGAUCCUCAGCCUGACCUGUCUGACCAUCACACUGUGGCUUGCUGGUAACCAGGGACAAGGGGCGAGACAUUUUCAUGCCUAUGUGCAAUCCUGCUACUCUCUGCCCCCCCUCACCACUCAGCUAGCACAGAUCCACUGGGAGAACGUCCCUGCCCCUGAGCUAACCUGUGCUGAGGCAGGCUCAGACACCAAGAGCUAUCUGUCUGAUACCGAGCACCACCCCACCCCUCCCCACCAUGACAAUUCCCCGGGCUACAUUGCCCCCUUCUCAUCCCUCCCCUAACCAAAAAGAGGGGGAAUUGUGGGAAAAGAUCUGUCACCCUGCCUACCCAUAACAGGCCCACACAGAACAUAGGAAAGCAAACUUGGCCAAACUAUACCAAAAAACACCCAGAAUGCUUCAGCAGGGACCAAGCAGGCUGACAAGUGAAACCAGACAGCGCUCGCAGACAAGGGAAUACACUUCCCAAAACCCACUAACAAUACCCGGUCAACUCAGCUGUCCCAAAGCCCCAAGGGCAGUCCCAUAGCACAGCAAUACCAAAGCCACACAAAGAACAGGUCAGAUGGAGAGGCACCACCAAGGACCUCACUCCCAGGCAGGACAAUGGGAAGCACCUAACUGUUUCAAAAGAGACAUUCUCACCUACCUGCAAAGAGAGCUGGAAUCUCCUGAUCCCAUUGACACUGUCAGGAUGUUGCAUUGUAUCGAGAAUCAGGACAUUCUUCCCAUAACGGUUUUUCAAUUGUACCAUUGUAACUGGAUUACUCCAUUUCCAAAUACUUCGUAACUUUCCCCAUUUUAAUUAACCUUAUAGUACAAGAUUUCUAUAAAACCCGGCUUCAUCCUCAGCGCGAGGAAGAGAACCCUUGAUCUAUCUGUACAGACUGUCAGUUCUGGGUCAGCCUAGUCAAUUUCUCUUCCAGCGAUAUCGUUUAUAAUAAACAGCAUGUCAAUUUCACCCGAUUUGGUUUGUGUGGUCUCUGCCUUAUUGGGCUAAUUUCUCCGACACUCUUGUCAUAGGAACAGCAGUCUGAGCCUGUUG